AUUGAACGCUGGCGGCAGGCCUAACACAUGCAAGUCGAACGGUAACAGGAAGCAUCUUGCUGCUUUGCUGACGAGUGGCGGACGGGUGAGUAAUGUCUGUGAAACUGCCCGAUGGAGGGGGAUAACUACUGGAAACGGUAGCUAAUACCGCAUAACGUCGCAAGACCAAAGAGGGGGACCUUAGGGCCUCUUGCCAUCGGAUGUGCCCAGAUGGGAUUAGCUAGUAGGUGGGGUAACGGCUCACCUAGGCGACGAUCCCUAGCUGGUCUGAGAGGAUGACAAGCGCCCCUGGAACGGAGCCAAGGUCCAGACUCCUACGGGAGGCAGCAGUGGGGAAUAGUGCACAAGGGGCGCAAGCCUGAUGCAGCCAUGCCGAGUGGAUGAAGAAGGGCUUCGGGUUGUAAAGUACUUUCAGCGGGGAGGAAGGGAGUAAAGUUAAUACCGUUGCUCAUUGACGUUACCCGCAGAAGAAGGACCGGCUAACUCCGUG
rnacentral:rRNA from 1 species